CCGUGGGCUACGGAGGUGAGGCAUAGAGGAGCCAGACCAACUGCCAGGAGAAGCCUGCUUAUUUUACCAGCCCGCGUGUGUAGAUAUGGAGAGGGCCAGACUGAACUCAGCAGCGAGCUCCUGCUCAGGCCCCUUUGAGUCUGGUGGCUGCACCAUGGGGAUUUCAGUGAGGCUUCCCAAGGCCCCAUCUACUUGGACACAGCCCAUGAGGAUCCGCCCGGGGAGCAGCACAGGUUUGGAAGAACAACAUAGAGAUCAAUUCCAAGGCAGGACAGAAACAGGUGCCUGGCUGUGUGAUAGUGCUUGAAUCGAGCAGGUCACCCAGGAAGGACUGUCACACGAGGUACCAUCCUUAAUCAGUGAAGACUGCGUGCUGCCCUCUCUGAACGUGGGCAUGCUGGACCCAGCACUCCAUGACCUUCAAGGGAUGAAUCCAAAGGUGCCCAGGGCUUCUGUGUGGGGCCUCAAAGAUGCUAACACUUGCUCCGCCUUUGCAGGCCGUCACUUCUUCACAAACUGUAAGCUGCUAUUUGAAAGCGAUGCUGUUCUAUCCGAGCCAGAGCGAAUCUUCAGGGGCUGCAUAGCUGAACCACUUUUGUAUGUCUAUGCUGUCUCAGGCGACCACAUGAAGUUGUUUGGACAUUUUGCUAUUCUCUGUUCCCUUUGCAAUCCUCUUUCAAUGGAGAACAUCCAAAAGGGUGAGAGGUGUUAAGUGUGGAAUACAUGCUGUAUUGUAUAUACACAGUCACUGCUAUUCACUGGCAAACCUGAACUUGAGUUCUCAAUGCAAAGAAGGAUUUUUCUUUCUCUCUCUCUCUCUCUGUGUCUGACUGCCUGUAUCAUUUCACCUUGUGGGUACACUGAAUAUUUUCCCAACCUGGUACCUUCUGUGAUGACAGAAUAAUGGCCUAUUCACCAACAAACCUCCAUCCUUGGAUCUCUUUAAGACCAUAUCCCAACUAGACUGGUAUGCAAAUAACCAUGUCUUCUCCCUUCCUUUAGUCUUUAGGUAUAGCACAGUCAGAGCAUCUUUUUCCUAUAAUAAUAAAAAAUAUAACAGGGAAAACUUUUUCUGACCUGCCAGCAUGUGUAGGUAAAACAGCAAAUGGCAAGGAUUUGGAGGUUGUGGUGAUCAGUCUUGGUCAUUGCAAGAAAUUUUAAACUGGUACCAGUGUCAUCAGACAUGUAAGUGUUGCUGUCCAAUAGGAGUUACUUUUCAGUUUUAAAACACUUUUGUACAUAUAUCUAAUAAUUCAUGAGCUUUACAGCAAUCCACCAAUAUCCAGUCAACACCUUGAUUUUGGACUUCCAGCCUCCAAAACUGUGACACAAUAAAUUCUUGUUCUU